rnacentral:rRNA from 1 species
GAUGAACGCUGGCGGCGUGCUUAACACAUGCAAGUCGAACGAGGUUGUACGAACAGAAGCCUUCGGGUGGAAGAUUGUAUAACUUAGUGGCGGACGGGUGAGUAACACGUGAGCAACCUGCCUUUCACAGUGGAAUAACAACAGGAAACUGUUGCUAAUACCGCAUAAUAUCUAGAUAAGGCAUCUUAUUUAGAUCAAAGAUUUAUCGGUGAAAGAUGGGCUCGCGUCCGAUUAGCUAGUUGGUGGGGUAAAGGCCUACCAAGGCGACGAUCGGUAGCCGGACUGAGAGGUUGAACGGCCACAUUGGGACUGAGACACGGCCCAGACUCCUACGGGAGGCAGCAGUGGGGAAUAUUGGGCAAUGGGCGCAAGCCUGACCCAGCAACGCCGCGUGAAGGAUGAAGGUCUUCGGAUUGUAAACUUCUUUGGUCAGGGACGAAACAAAUGACGGUACCUGAAGAACAAGCCACGGCUAACUACGUGCCAGCAGCCGCGGUAAUACGUAGGUGGCGAGCGUUAUCCGGAUUUACUGGGUGUAAAGGGCGUGUAGGCGGUUUUUUAAGAUGGAUGUGAAAUCCCCAGGCUCAACCUGGGAGGGUCAUCCAUAACUGGAGAACUUGAGUGUCGGAGAGGAAAGCGGAAUUCCUAGUGUAGCGGUAAAAUGCGUAGAUAUUAGGAGGAACACCAGUGGCGAAGGCGGCUUUCUGGACGAUAACUGACGCUAAGGCGCGAAAGCGUGGGGAGCAAACAGG